UCAAAGGAAUUGACGGGGGCCCGCACAAGCGGCGGAGCAUGCGGAUUAAUUCGAUGCAACGCGAAGAACCUUACCAAGGCUUGACAUGAACCGGUAAUACCUGGAAACAGGUGCCCCGCUUGCGGUCGGUUUACAGGUGGUGCAUGGUUGUCGUCAGCUCGUGUCGUGAGAUGUUGGGUUAAGUCCCGCAACGAGCGCAACCCUCGUUCUAUGUUGCCAGCGCGUUAUGGCGGGGACUCAUAGGAGACUGCCGGGGUCAACUCGGAGGAAGGUGGGGACGACGUCAAAUCAUCAUGCCCCUUAUGUCUUGGGCUUCACGCAUGCUACAAUGGCCGGUACAAAGGGUUGCGAUACUGUGAGGUGGAGCUAAUCCCAAAAAGCCGGUCUCAGUUCGGAUUGGGGUCUGCAACUCGACCCCAUGAAGUCGGAGUCGCUAGUAAUCGCAGAUCAGCAACGCUGCGGUGAAUACGUUCCCGGGCCUUGUACACACCGCCCGUCAAGUCACGAAAGUUGGUAACACCCGAAGCCGGUGGCCUAACCCUUGUGGGGGGAGCCGUCGAAGGUGGGACCGGCGAUUGGGANUNNNUCGUAACAAGGUAGCCGUACCGGAAGGUGCGGC
rnacentral:rRNA from 1 species